rnacentral:rRNA from 1 species
AUUGAACGCUGGCGGCAGGCCUAACACAUGCAAGUCGAACGGUAACAGGAAGAAGCUUGCUUCUUUGCUGACGAGUGGCGGACGGGUGAGUAAUGUCUGGGAAACUGCCUGAUGGAGGGGGAUAACUACUGGAAACGGUAGCUAAUACCGCAUAACGUCGCAAGACCAAAGAGGGGGACCUUCGGGCCUCUUGCCAUCGGAUGUGCCCAGAUGGGAUUAGCUAGUAGGUGGGGUAACGGCUCACCUAGGCGACGAUCCCUAGCUGGUCUGAGAGGAUGACCAGCCACACUGGGACUGAGACACGGUCCAGACUCCUACGGGAGGCAGCAGUGGGGAAUAUUGCACAAUGGGCGCAAGCCUGAUGCAGCCAUGCCGCGUGUAUGAAGAAGGCCUUCGGGUUGUAAAGUACUUUCAGCGGGGAGGAAGGGAGUAAAGUUAAUACCUUUACUCAUUGACGUUACCCGCAGAAGAAGCACCGGCUAACUCCGUG